GGAAUAGUAACCAAAUGUGGGGUUGAGGAAGAUGAAGUCUCCCACACACCCCGUAAUUUCUCAUCACGCCCCUGUGAGACCCCCUCCUUUGGGCCUAAAGUAUUUUCCUAGCUACACCCCCAAUUUUCAGCCUGUUUUUGUUUUUUGUAUAUUUUUUUAUUUAUUGUUUUCUUAUUAUUGAUUUUUUUAUUUAUUAUUGUUUUUUCUUUUAUUUUCUUUAGUUUUUUUAAUUCUUUUACCUCUUGUAUUGAUAGUGUGUC
rnacentral:lncRNA from 1 species